CCCACUUGGAGGUUGAGCCCGUGACCCUCAGUCCACCCAGAGUCUAGCCCCCCCGGGUGAGUGUUCCCUGGAAGUCUAUGAGCUGAGAGGGAAGGCUGUGGGAGCAGCCAGCAGCGGGUGAGCAUGUAACCGCCCCGCACACACAUACUGGCUCGUGUGAAGGGACACAAUCUUCACUCUCAGGACAGAUCGGAGGCUAAUGGUAAUGAUGCGGCUCAAUGAGACUCACCUAGACGAUGUCCAUUCCUGAAGGGAUUAAGAGGAGGCCUGCUGAGGAUGACAUCUUCUGAAUAGACAUUGUGAGCUCUCUGCUGGGUGUCCCAUACACGUUCCCUGCAGCCCUGCAGUCCUUGAGGGAGCCUCUCCAUCUGGGUAUCGGAGACUGCGGCUCAGAGAGCGUGAGUCCCCUGCCCAAGGUCGCACAGCCUUGUAGCUGGCCUCUUCUGCUCAAACUAGCAUUUCCUGCUAUAAUCUAAGAGGUAUAGAGAGGAAACCGCAUCACUUCCCUUGUUUGUCCCCACCGCCCAGCAGCCUGGAGACAUUUAGGCCGUAAGUCAAGCGUUUUAUAUCCAGAAAGAGAGAAGGCGGCUUCCCUGGACUCAUCGCUCUGAUUUAUAAAGUCAGCGGAUUCUGCGAAGCUCGAGGCCCCAUGUACCUAGGGCAUGUGGCAUUGGGCACGAAGUGUGGCACAGCUCGACUCUGAGUCCUGAGGGAGUUGGGACAGGACUAUGGAACCCCAGAUUGGAGUUGCUGCAGCCACACACAGCACAGCAGGCCAACUAUCUGCGACUUGGCUACAGCCUUGAAGCCAGCCAAGGGUCCUGAUACCCUACCCUCCCUGGAAAUUGCUUCUGUCCCUGAACUCAUGGUCCUUCUGUGUUCUGCUGUGGAGAUCCUCAAGCUAACACUGCUGUUCUCCCAAACGCCCUGCCUCUACCUGCCCCCAGACCUGGCCCCCCAUUUCCCUGACUUUUUGGGGAUCCUCCCCUCAGCCUGCAUCUCCUUCACUUGUCAGUGCAGAGAUCCCACUGUGGCUUCCAAGCCCCUCACAGUUCCCCAAAUCCUUCUCGGGCCCCUCCCUUGCCCUUCCUCAAAGGCUUUGUGUUUCCUUCCAAGUUUUUGGGAUCCUUCUUACAUACGUGGUCUUAGCUACUCAGGCUGCUGUAUUCACUUGACCUCAAGCCUGUGUUUGGACCACAUUCUCAUCUUGAUCCCACUUCCCUCUCCUUUUCUGCCUUCCAUGGAUGUCCAUGGCUUACCCUGGUCUCUCUGCUGACUGCCCAGUGCUCCCGGACAUGUCCCCUCCUCCCUGCUCCUCAUCUGACACCGACUUUCACUCAUGUUUCUCUGGGAGCUUAAGGCACCCACCCUCUGCACACACGUUCCCUCCCUUGGGUGCCAGACAUAGCAUCCCCAAGGCAGACUGAGGCUACCUUUCCUUUACACGUCUCUGGCUAUUUCUGUCUCUUUCCCCUCUCUUACCACCAAGUUCUUUGUCCCUUCUUUGGACUCAGCCUCUGUACUAUCCACUGUGUAAGCAUUUGGGGGAGGGGGGACUCAGUUCUCCUGGAACCCUGGGACCCAUCAGUUUUGGCGGGGCGGGUAGACAUCAGCAGCCAUGCCAGGAAAGCCCACAGAGCAGUGCAGGAGCACUGCGUGAAGAAACUCAGCUUAGGAGCACUGCUUUUGAAACAACCAGUUGCAUCUAAUCAAAUAAUGGUUCCUGUAACUCACAGCUAAUUUGUUUCCAGGAUCAACCUUACGCGCUUGCUCCGGUUGGGAUCUGUUUGCUGUCUCUUGGUGUCUGCACACGUCGCCUCAGCUCCUCAUCCUGCUUUGCCUGCUCUGAAUAAUUCACACAUACCAAAUUGCUUCUCACUCCUGCUGCUGAAGCUGUUCUGGAAAUGUCUGUUAAGCUGUAAUGAAGAAUGGAAGGUUCUGGAAGCCAAGUGUGAACUCCUGUUGGAUUUCAGUCUUCCCGGUGGGAAGCAGCAGUCCCCUUCUUCUUUUGUGGUAACCAGUGGCCGCCCCCCUCCAUUCGUCCUCCUUAUCAGUGCUUUCCCUUUGUCAGCCUGGGCCCCACGUUAUUAAAUGGGCCAUUCCAGAUCAUCCCGGAUCAUUCUGGAUCAUUCCGGAGCAAAUUCACUCCUCAGCUUUCCAUUCUGAUACAAGUGGGGGAAAUCUCCCAGCCGCCCAGUAUGCCCGGCUGGAUGUGAACAGUCCGUCCUAUGACCAGGGUGCCCUGGGCAGAAUCAUAACGGUCUGCUACCAGAGUGAUGCCCCUGUAUGGUGGUGUUUGGUGUUUAUGUGAAGCUGACCUUACCUGGACAUGGCCCUAAAGCAAGCAGGUGGUGCAGAGCACGUGCCAGGCAUCCUUCCAGGAAAGACAUAACAAUGGUGGUGGGACGUGUGUGGAAAAGCACAGUCCUCACGGGUGCCCGUCUCACCUGUAGCCCCAGUCCUUCCUGUGAUGGAACAUGUACUCGAGUAACAAGUUGACUGUACGAGUCCCUCCCCCAUGCCAGGUAUACCAUGGGCCCUGGGAGAGCUGAGGACCAGGAGGGAAUUUCUGACUUCUGCUGGGCCAGUAUCAACAUCUGUAGGGGUCCAGGCACAUCCAACAACCAUCAGGUGAUUGAUAGGCAGUGUGCUGUGCUCCCUGACACUGGUGUUUGCCUGAAGACUGGGAGCGAGGGAUCUGACAGCUGAGUUUUCCUUUCCCUCCACAGUAGGGCCAUUGCUUUCUCACAGAGGGAGAUUUGUCCAUCAGGACAGCUGAGUGAGUCUCUAAAAGCGGGGGAAUGCUUAUCAAUGGAGAAGUGCCAUGCAUUGUGAUUAGCAAAGAGGAUAGGACCAGCAGCUGGCCAGGCCAUCCUUCCCCAAUCCCCCUUCAUCGGGCAUUAGAACCUACUCUGAGUAGGUUCUAUCUACUCCUGCCAUUCCCACCCUGUUCCUGGAGACCCCCAAGAGGCAUCCGUCCCAAGGGGACAGCCUCUGAGUUAUCAUUGGCCAAAGGGUUGGUCCAAGUACUCCUUAGGAGGGUCUCUGAGUGCGACCUCACAAGUCUUACUGAACAGAUUGCACCCUGGGGCUCAGACAGAUCAGUGUGCAACUGGGGCUGUGUUUGGUUCUACAAGCACCCUCCACCCAAGUCAGUGCCCCAGACCUGCAUCUCUGUGGUGAUCCUUUCUGCUUUCUUCAUGGAAAGAGGUUCUCUGAGAUAUCUGCACUGGUGAGGAGUUGCAGGGUGUGUGUGUGUGUGUGUGUGUGUGUGUGUGUGUGUGUGUGUGUGUGUGUUCAGGAGUGUGAGGAGGGAGGGUAAAGACCAUUAGGCAACGUACCCUCCGUUCGUAGGACUGACAAGGACAAGAAGAGGCUGCCUAGGUGUCUCUUGUUAGACCAGACUUUUAUAGAAGUGAGCGGUCUUCAUAGCAAAUGCUGUCCAAACUGCCUCCCUCUGUCUCCCCAGGGUAGUCAGGGCCAGUGCAUCUAGGGGUUCCCUGAAGACAGGGCCCAUUCUGGCCCCAGCCUCCCUCAGCUGACAUAGAUGGACGGCUUCCCAGAAAGGAAGGGAUAGCGAGAAGGGGCGCCCACACAAGAGCCCGGCUGCAGUGAAAGGAAGGCCAGGCGGAACGGCGGUAGCCUUUAAUUGAAUCUCUCCUCUCCUGGUCCUUCCUGAGGUAGCUCCUGAGGUAGCUUCCUGAGGAUGAUCCUACGCAGCUGCUGUUUGUCUCCUUUAUUAUGGCUUUGCCACAGCCAAUUUAACAGACCGGGCGAGACAAACAGUCUAGAGCUGCUAGCAGACCCAUCCGGCUAAUUAGAGGGGUGGCUUUAGGGCAGGAGGCAGUGGGAGAGGAGGCACCUGUGUCCGUUGUUACACUGAACUGUGCAUUUACGGCCUCUUGCUGGUCGUGUGGGCCUCGGAUGUCGCAGGUUUCCUGAAGGCGACUAAGGCCCUCGUUGGGGAUGAGCGCAGGGGUCGUCCAGGGAUCACACAAAAUUCAAUCAUCGAAAAUGAGACUACCUAUGACUUGUGCCCAGGACAUCACUCUUGAUGACCUUAUUUUCCAGGUUUUGGUGGGAAGAACAAGAUAAAUAAGGAAGUCUCUUCAUGUUUCCAGUCUGCUGGGUUCUUCUGGGCCCUGUGGGCUUAACUCAAGAGUGGAAAACAGGCCUGGACUGGGGCCGGGCCUGGGGAAACAGCCUUAGUCCUCCAGGACUCCCAACAUGGGCCAAUUAGCAGGCAGUUGCUGUGUGACAGUGCAGCUGGUGUCUCCGGCUCGAGCCAAGGCUGGCGUCAGGGGACUUGGGUCCCUCCUUGAGUAUGUUCCAAAUUAGCUGUUCAAAGUGGAACAGGCGUUAAAUGGUCUCUCUGUGCCUCUGUGUCUCUACUGGCAACGUAAGGACACCCAUGUCUCAGCAACAGAGCAAAGCACCCACAUUAGUUAGUGGGGGGCAUGUGAAGGAGCUGACCAUGAAGGGGUGACUAUGACACAACUCUUCAGGAGAUCGUCCGUUCAGGCUGUGUGCUGCCAUGAUACCUGGUGGAGAGGUUUCAGCUUUGCAGCUCACUCUCCUGAGAGGGUGGCUACUGGAAUGGAUCUAGAGGUCUCUCAGGGCCCCUCCCAUGAGGCCAACAUUGGUAUUCCUGGUGUUGGGUGAGGAGUAGGGCCAGCAGGCAGGAGGACAUUUGGGUGACUUCCUCCACCCGUGUAGUGGUUUGAAUAUGUUUGGCUCAGGGAAGUGACACUAUUAGGAUGUGUGGCCUUGUUGGAAUAGGUGUGGCCUUGUUGGAGGAAGUGUGUUGCUGUGGGCUUUCACUUUAAGACCCUCGUCCUAGAUACCUGGAAGCCAGUCUUCUCCUAGCAGCCUUCAGAUGAAGAUGUAGGACUCUCAGCUCCUCCUGCACCAUGCCUGCCUGGACACUGCCAUGCUCCUGCCUUGAUGAUAAUGGACUGAACCUCUGAACCUGUAAGCCAGCCCCAGUUAAAUGUUGUCCUUAUGAGAGUUGCCUUGGUCAUGGUGUCUGUUCACAGCAGUAAAACCCAAACUAAGACAACCAGUGUUUCACUUCCCCUAGCCACAACCACACAGGAUCAGGUUAGACUGGAAGUCCCUGAAGUCCUGGCAAGUGAAGGGUAGGAGAGUGAUGCCCUGGAAGGAGAUGGGUGUCUAGAGGCAGGGGGGCAGAGUGACCACUCCGUUGCUGGGAAAAUACAGACCUGGAGGGAGCAAGGCCAAGUUCUAUGGCUCACUUGUUAAAACGUGUGGGCUCUGCUUCUG